rnacentral:rRNA from 1 species
CAGUAGCCGCGGGAAUACGAAGGGUGCAAGCGUUACUCGGAAUUACUGGGCGUAAAGCGUGCGUAGGUGGUGGUUUAAGUCCGUUGUGAAAGCCCUGGCUCAACCUGGGAAUUGCAGUGGAUACUGGGUCACUAGAGUGUGGUAGAGGAUAGUGGAAUUUCCGGUGUAGCAGUGAAAUGCGUAGAGAUCGGAAGGAACAUCUGUGGCGAAGGCGACUAUCUGGGCCAACACUGACACUGAGGCACGAAAGCGUGGGGAGCAAACAGGAUUAGAUACCCCCGUAGUCCCUGUCUCUUAUACA